rnacentral:lncRNA from 1 species
UCCUAGACGUUCUCUACCACGUGAAAAUAUGCUUUUGCUUCUACUUGAGUUGUUGGUGAAAUGUGAGGGAUGAGACCUGUAUCUAGAAUUGCGAUCUGCACUAAACUUGCAACUAAAAACAGGCUGUCUGAUAUUAUUGUCUUGAAUCUGAAAAACCACCGGGUCACACUCCGGUUCACCACCAAACUGAAAAACAAACCGAGGAUCCGGUUCAGACCGGACAACAACAUGAAUCAUCUUAUCCCCUUCACCACCACCAUCCUUAUCCUUCUUCUUCUUCCCAAUAUGAAGCCACCCAUUCUGGAACGUACUACUCCGAAGCCACGAACUCUCUGUGAGUUCAAUGUUCACAGUAACACGCCCAACCAACUUCGCUUCAGUGAU